GUAAAGUUCUUUUAGUAGGAAGAUAAUGACGGUACCUACAGAAAAAAGCCCCCGGCUAACUCCGUGCCAGCAGCCGCGGUAAGGACGGAGGGGGCUAGCGUUGUUCGGAAUUACUGGGCGUAAAGGGCGCGUAGGCGGAUUAGUAAGUUGGAAGUGAAAUCCCCGAGGCUUAACCUCGGGAAUGGCUUUCAAAACUGCUGAUCUAGAGUAAAGUAGGGGGUGAUGGAAUUCCUAGUGUAGAGGUGAAAUUCUUAGAUAUUAGGAGGAACACCGGUGGCGAAGGCGGUCACCUGGACUUCAACUGACGCUAAGGCGCGAAAGCGUGGGGAGCAAACAGGAUUAGAUACCCUGGUAGUCCACGCCGUAAACGAUGAGUGCUAGAUAUCGGAAAUUUAUUUUUCGGUUUCGCAGCUAACGCAUUAAGCACUCCGCCUGGGGACUACGAUCGCAAGAUUAAAACUCAAAAGGAAUUGACG
rnacentral:rRNA from 1 species